rnacentral:rRNA from 1 species
GACGAACGCUGGCGGCGUGCCUAACACAUGCAAGUCGAGCGAGGAGAUUCCUUCGGGAUGAUCCUAGCGGCGGACGGGUGAGUAACACGUGGGCAACCUGCCUCAUAGAGAGGAAUAGCCUCCCGAAAGGGAGAUUAAUACCUCAUAACAUUGCAGUUUCGCAUGGAACAGCAAUUAAAGGAGUAAUCCGCUAUGAGAUGGGCCCGCGGCGCAUUAGCUAGUUGGUGAGGUAACGGCUCACCAAGGCGACGAUGCGUAGCCGACCUGAGAGGGUGAUCGGCCACAUUGGGACUGAGACACGGCCCAGACUCCUACGGGAGGCAGCAGUGGGGAAUAUUGCACAAUGGGGGAAACCCUGAUGCAGCAACGCCGCGUGAGUGAUGACGGCCUUCGGGUUGUAAAGCUCUGUCUUCAGGGACGAUAAUGACGGUACCUGAGGAGGAAGCCACGGCUAACUACGUGCCAGCAGCCGCCGUAAGAC